rnacentral:piRNA from 1 species
AACAAGGGUCCCAGAAUUGUCUAG